rnacentral:rRNA from 1 species
GCCUCAGUAACGGCGAGUGAAGCGGCAAGAGCUCAAAUUUGAAAGCUGGCCCCUUCGGGGUCCGCGUUGUAAUUUGCAGAGGAUGCUUCGGGUGCAGCCCCCGUCUAAGUGCCCUGGAACGGGCCGUCAUAGAGGGUGAGAAUCCCGUCUGGGACGGGGUGUCUGCGUCCGUGUGAAGCUCCUUCGACGAGUCGAGUUGUUUGGGAAUGCAGCUCUAAAUGGGUGGUAAAUUUCAUCUAAAGCUAAAUACUGGCCGGAGACCGAUAGCGCACAAGUAGAGUGAUCGAAAGAUGAAAAGCACUUUGAAAAGAGAGUUAAACAGCACGUGAAAUUGUUGAAAGGGAAGCGUUUGCGACCAGACUCGCCCGCGGGGUUCAGCCGGCAUUCGUGCCGGUGUACUUCCCCGUGGGCGGGCCAGCGUCGGUUUGGGCGGCCGGUCAAAGGCCCUCGGAAUGUAUCACCUCUCGGGGUGUCUUAUAGCCGAGGGUGCAAUGCGGCCUGCCUGGACCGAGGAACGCGCUUCGGCUCGGACGCUGGCGUAAUGGUCGUAAAUGACCCGUCUUGAAACACGGACCAAGGAGUCUAACAUCUACGCGAGUGUUCGGGUGUCAAACCCGUACGCGCAGUGAAAGCGAACGGAGGUGGGAGCCCCCUCGCGGGGCGCACCAUCGACCGAUCCUGAUGUCUUCGGAUGGAUUUGAGUACGAGCGUAGCUGUGGGGACCCGAAAGAUGGUGAACUAUGCCUGAAUAGGGCGAAGCCAGAGGAAACUCUGGUGGAGGCUCGCAGCGGUUCUGACGUGCAAAUCGAUCGUCAAAUUUGGGUAUAGGGGCGAAAGACUAA